UACGAAGGGGGCUAGCGUUGUUCGGAUUUACUGGGCGUAAAGCGCACGUAGGCGGAUUGUUAAGUCAGGGGUGAAAUCCUGGAGCUCAACUCCAGAACUGCCUUUGAUACUGGCAAUCUUGAGUCCGGAAGAGGUGAGUGGAACUCCGUAGUGUAGAGGUGGAAUUCGUAGAUAUUAGGAAGAACACCAGUGGCGAAGGCGGCUCACUGGUCCGGUACUGACGCUGAGGUGCGAAAGCGUGGGAGCA
rnacentral:rRNA from 1 species